GAUGAAGAACGUAGCGAAAUGCGAUAAGUAAUGUGAAUUGCAGAAUUCAGUGAACCAUCGAAUCUUUGAACGCACAUUGCGCCCCCUGGUAUUCCGGGGGGCAUGCCUGUCCGAGCGUCAUUACAACCCUCAAGCUCAGCUUGGUAUUGGGCCCCGCCGACCCGGCGGGCCCUAAAGUCAGUGGCGGUGCCGUCCGGCUCCGAGCGUAGUAAUUCUUCUCGCUCUGGAGGUCCGGUCGUGUGCUCGCCAGCAACCCCCAAUUUUUUUCAGGUUGACCUCGGAUCAGGUAGGGAUACCCGCUGAACUUAAGCAUAUCAAUAAGCGGAGGA
rnacentral:misc_RNA from 1 species